ACGUAGGAUGCAAGCGUUGUCCGGAUUUACUGGGCGUAAAGCGCGCGCAGGCGGCACUCUAAGUACGUCGUGAAAUAUCCCGGCUCAACCGGGAGGGUGCGAUGUAGACUAGGGAGCUAGAGGUCGGUAGAGGGGGGUGGAAUUGCUGGUGUAGCGGUGAAAUGCGUAGAGAUCAGCAGGAACACCCGUGGCGAAGGCGGCCCCCUGGGCCGUACCUGACGCUGAGGCGCGAAGGCUAGGGGAGCGAACGGGA
rnacentral:rRNA from 1 species